GAACCCACAGCCUCUGACUUCAGGAUCUACUUAUACAAAAUUAUGUGAGAAUUUCAAAGUGUAAAUCAGAAGAAACAUUAUCAAAUGAAAAAAGAGGUUUGGUAACCAAAAGAUAGAUAUUAAGAUGUCGCAAAAGGAGCGAAUGGUGAUGUGAAGAAAAUUCUAAAAUAAUGCAGUGAUGCUUUAUAAUCUGGAAUGCAUUGCCUGAAACAAAAAGCCGGCAUGAAGGCCGAUACGUCCCAGAAUCCAGUGCGGGCCUGAAAGCCCUGUAUUCGAACCAAGACGCUGUACAUUUAAUUGGAGGUAUUCACCGUCGCUUGGAAUGCUGGGAUAUUUCACGUCCAUGAACAGCUCAAGAGGCAUGUAAUAACAUCUCAAACAAUUCCUAAUCAGCCUAUCUGCCUGAGAACGUUCUGCAGUGAUAUUCUGGAGUUGAGAUGACUGACUGGCAACAUCUACAGUUCUAGUGGUUGUGUCCCUAUCUCAAGCCCAACUCUGACCAGUAUAAUAACAUCUCUGAACUGACUGAUACAUAUCCAACCAUGUAUAUGGCAACAAAAAGGACACUGAACAACAAACAAGAGGAUGGAAUAACCAGCUAGUUCUUUUCUGUAAGCCAGCAGUACUCCGAAUAAGGCAUUAGACAAUAACAAUAGAAAAAGGCCCUUGCAUUGAGAUUAUAUCUGGGCUGGCUCUUUGAAAAGUGUAAGUACAGUGUAAACCACUGAUGAAACUGCAACUGGAGUAUCACGAACAGUUCUAGAUCCCUUGCCAAAGAAAAGAUAUACUUUCUGCAAUUGGAAUGAGCAGAAAUUGAUUGAUUCCUGACAGGGUGGGAAUGUUCUAUAAAGAGAUAUUGAAGAGAUAGUGGGAGUUUCUCCAGAGUUUUCUAUUUUUAUUUCAGUACUGCAGAUUCCGUAGUACUUUAUUUUUAUUUAAGAAAGAGGAUAUUCCUUCUUGCUGUGGAAUCUACAACCAGUGGGUGCAGUUAUAAAAUAUGACUAGGACUUUCUGGGAACUGAAAUGAGAGGAAUGCUUUCACUCAGAGGGUGUGAAUCUUGGGAAUACUCUACUCUGAGGGCUGUGGAAGUUCAGUCAUUAAAUAAGUUCAAAACUGAGACUGAUUGAUGUAAAUAGUAGGAACACAUCUAAAAGAUAGAUGUACAAUGUGGAAAUAUGGCAUUGGGAUAGAUGUUCAGCCAUGAUCUAGAAUAUUGGAGCAGGCUUGAAUGAUCUAUUUAAGUUCUGAUGUUCCUAUCUAACUGAUGAUACUCACCCCACACCACACCCACAAACAAUGUGCACAUUCUCCUCUACACGCAUUAUAUC